rnacentral:rRNA from 1 species
GCGUGGGAAUGUGCCCUUUGGUACGGAAUAACUGAGGGAAACUUCAGCUAAUACCGUAUGUGCCCUACGGGGGAAAGAUUUAUCGCCAUUGGAGCAGCCCGCGUUGGAUUAGGUAGUUGGUGGGGUAAAGGCCCACCAAGCCGACGAUCCAUAGCUGGUCUGAGAGGAUGAUCAGCCACACUGGGACUGAGACACGGCCCAGACUCCUACGGGAGGCAGCAGUGGGGAAUCUUGCGCAAUGGGCGAAAGCCUGACGCAGCCAUGCCGCGUGUAUGAUGAAGGUCUUAGGAUUGUAAAAUA